rnacentral:rRNA from 1 species
CAGCGCCACGAGUGGUAAUCGCUAUUAUUGGGCCUAAAGCGUCCGUAGCAGGUUUUGUAAAUCUUAUGUGAAAUUGUUGCGCUCAACGUAACAGCGUGCAUGAGACACUGCAAGACUUGGGACCGGGAGGAGUCAGAGGUAUUUCUUGGGGAGCGGUAAAAUGCUAUAAUCCAAGAAGGACCACCUAUGGCGAAGGCAUCUGACCAGAACGGAUCCGACUGUGAGGGACGAAAGCCAGGGGAGCGAACCGGAUUAGAUACCCGAGUAGUCC